AGGCUUAACACAUGCAAGUCGAGCGGGCAUAGCAAUAUGUCAGCGGCAGACGGGUGAGUAACAGCAGUGGGAACAGUACCUUUUGGUUCAGGAACAACUGAGGGAAACCUUCAGCUAAUACCAGGAUAAGCCCUUACGGGGAAAGAUUUAUCGCCGAAAGAUCAGGCCCAGCGUCUGAUUAGCUAGUUGGUGAGGUAAUGGCUCACCAAGGCGACGAUCAGUAGCUGGUCUGAGAGGAUGAUCAGCCACAUUGGGACUGAGACACGGCCCAAACUCCUACGGGAGGCAGCAGUGGGGAAUAUUGGACAAUGGGCGCAAGCCUGAUCCAGCCAUGCCGCGUGAGUGAUGAAGGCCCUAGGGUUGUAAAGCUCUUUUGUGCGGGAAGAUAAUGACGGUACCGCAAGAAUAAGCCCCGGCUAACUUCGUGCCAGCAGCCGCGGUAAUACGAAGGGGGCUAGCGUUGCUCGGAAUCACUGGGCGUAAAGGGUGCGUAGGCGGGUCUUUAAGUCAGGGGUGAAAUCCUGGAGCUCAACUCCAGAACUGCCUUUGAUACUGAAGAUCUUGAGUUCGGGAGAGGUGAGUGGAACUGCGAGUGUAGAGGUGAAAUUCGUAGAUAUUCGCAAGAACACCAGUGGCGAAGGCGGCUCACUGGCCCGAUACUGACGCUGAGGCACGAAAGCGUGGGGAGCAAACAGGAUUAGAUACCCUGGU
rnacentral:rRNA from 1 species